AUUGAACGCUGGCGGCAUGCCUUACACAUGCAAGUCGAACGGCAGCACAGGGAGCUUGCUCCUGGGUGGCGAGUGGCGAACGGGUGAGUAAUGUAUCGGAACGUGCCCAGUAGUGGGGGAUAACUACUCGAAAGAGUGGCUAAUACCGCAUGAGAUCUCUGGAUGAAAGUGGGGGACCGCAAGGCCUCACGCUACUGGAGCGGCCGAUAUCAGAUUAGGUUGUUGGUGGGGUAAAGGCCUACCAAGCCUGCGAUCUGUAGCUGGUCUGAGAGGACGACCAGCCACACUGGGACUGAGACACGGCCCAGACUCCUACGGGAGGCAGCAGUGGGGAAUUUUGGACAAUGGGCGCAAGCCUGAUCCAGCAAUGCCGCGUGCAGGAUGAAGGCCUUCGGGUUGUAAACUGCUUUUGUACGGAACGAAAAGGCUCUGGUUAAUACCUGGGGUCCAUGACGGUACCGUAAGAAUAAGCACCGGCUAACUACGUGCCAGCCGCCGCCGUAAAAC
rnacentral:rRNA from 1 species